GCUUAAGAGCUUGAGGCCCAGAAUUACAGACGGCUCCACGAGCAGAUGGGCAGAUGAAUAGAAGAGCAGAGGAGGAGAAGAACAACGUGGCAGAGAAGGAGAGAGAAGGAGCAUCUGAACGUUGAGAGGAGUUUGGCCGGGGAUGGUCAGACAGUUGAUCAUCCACAGCACAGCGAAACUCUAUGGGGAAGAUCAUCUUCACACUCCAUCCCCUUUCCAGUUCCCCAUCCAUUCCAAUGACAGCUACCUCCAUCGCCCAAUAAAAUCCCCACAUUCACC
rnacentral:lncRNA from 1 species